rnacentral:rRNA from 1 species
GUGAACGCUGGCGGUAGGCCUAACACAUGCCAGUCGAACGGCAGCACCGUAAGCGCUUGCUCUUACGGGUGGCGAGUGGCGGACGGGUGAGGAAUACAUCGGAAUCUACUUUUUCGUGGGGGAUAACGUAGGGAAACUUACGCUAAUACCGCAUACGACCUACGGGUGAAAGCAGGGGAUCUUCGGACCUUGCGCGAUUGAAUGAGCCGAUGUCGGAUUAGCUAGUUGGCGGGGUAAAGGCCCACCAAGGCGACGAUCCGUAGCUGGUCUGAGAGGAUGAUCAGCCACACUGGAACUGAGACACGGUCCAGACUCCUACGGGAGGCAGCAGUGGGGAAUAUUGGACAAUGGGCGCAAGCCUGAUCCAGCCAUACCGCGUGGGUGAAGAAGGCCUUCGGGUUGUAAAGCCCUUUUGUUGGGAAAGAAAAGCAGCAGGUUAAUACCCCGCUGUUCUGACGGUACCCAAAGAAUAAGCACCGGCUAACUUCGUG